UGGGGAAUAUUGCACAAUGGGCGCAAGCCUGAUGCAGCCAUGCCGCGUGUAUGAAGAAGGCCUUCGGGUUGUAAAGUACUUUCAGUCGGGAGGAAGGUGGUAAGGUUAAUAACCUUAUCAAUUGACGUUACCGACAGAAGAAGCACCGGCUAACUCCGUGCCAGCAGCCGCGGUAAUACGGAGGGUGCAAGCGUUAAUCGGAAUUACUGGGCGUAAAGCGCACGCAGGCGGUUUGUUAAGUCAGAUGUGAAAUCCCCGGGCUCAACCUGGGAACUGCAUCUGAUACUGGCAAGCUUGAGUCUCGUAGGGGGGGGUAGAAUUCCAGGUGUAGCGGUGAAAUGCGUAGAGAUCUGGAGGAAUACCGGUGGCGAAGGCGGCCCCCUGAACGAAGACUGACGCUCAGGUGCGAAAGCGUGGGGAGCAAACAGG
rnacentral:rRNA from 1 species